AUGCUGCAGGAGUUCGUCGACAACGUCNNNNNNNNNNNNNNNNNGUCUGUGAAGACAUUCACAUAUGAGACAUUGAACAACAUUGCGAGAUUGAUAAAUGGAAUAUCAGCACUCUUGUUGACACUGUUACCUGGAAAAGCCAACAUUUUGGAAGGGGUCAGUGGCUGGGAACUUAGGCCAGCAUUUCGCGGGCCACGUCUUCCUCGUUGGAUGGAAAGUGGGGUCUCUUCAUUUAACGAGUUCAUUCACGAACUUUCUGCCGAUUCGGAGUCUGAAUCAAUUGCUGGCUCUGUCCCUGGGGAUGAUGACAAUGAAGAGUUUGUCUGCCCUCCUUCUCCGUUGUCCCAAAGUUCACGAUUGUCACACACAAGCAGCUUUGGUAGACAUGACCGUCGAUUGAGAAGGCCUAUCAAAUAUGCAGUUUCCUGGAUUAUUUGGCCUGUGAAAAUUUUCCUUUCUUUGCUGCUCGUCUUGUUCAAUGCUGUCAAAUAUCGGAUAUCAAGGGCAUCUGCUAAAACCCCAGAAAGUCCUUAUUUAUCGAGGAGCAUAUCUGUGAAAAACCCAAUUCACAUGAAGGAUCAAGUCCUACAACGAACGACUGAUAGAAGGCGCGGAGUUGUCGAGGAUAUUCAUUUGGCAGUUGAGAUAUUCAUUGAAUCAGUUUUUGACGUUGUUCAUAAAGGAGCACAUUAUGUUCUUUCUCCUUUUGAGGUGUGGCAGAAGUUAUUUUGGUGGAUUCAUGGAAACAGGGUUGGUAACAGUAGUCCUGCUGUUGAUGUGCCAACAGCUAACAUUGGCAGUGAUAAUCCAGUUCCAACUGAAAGGAAGACCGUAUAUCGUCAUGCAUUGAACACAGAUUCCCGGACAUGUGAAGAUGUUAUAACUGAACUUGGGUAUCCUUUUGAGGCUAUAAAGGUGGUUACUUCAGAUGGAUAUGUUCUGCUGCUGGAGAGAAUCCCCAGGCGUGAUUCACGGAAGGUUGUGUUGUUGCAACAUGGAGUACUGGACUCAUCUAUGGGUUGGGUAUCGAAUGGUGUUGUUGGCUCACCUGCAUUUGCAGCUUAUGAUCAAGGUUAUGAUGUUUUUCUUGGAAAUCUCCGUGGUUUGGUUUCAAGAGAGCAUAUGGAUAAAAAUCUUUCUUCCUCCAAGUACUGGAAAUAUUCUGUCAAUGAGCAUGGAACCAAAGAUAUGCCAGCAAUAAUCGAGGAAAUUCACAAGAUUAAAACUUCAGAACUUGGCAGCAGUCAGAAUCUUAUUGGGGAGGAAAUGGAAGAUCAAAAUGAUGACAUAAAGAAUUCGGAAAUACAGACUUCAGAGGAAGACGUGACAAAAAAUCAGCCUUAUAAGCUCUGUGCUGUCUGCCACAGCCUGGGUGGUGCAGUUAUGUUGAUGUAUGUGGUGAUAUCAAGGAUUGCGCAGAAGCCCCACAGGUUGUCAAGAUUGGUCUUGCUAUCUCCUGCUGGUUUUCACGAGGAUUCAAAUGUGGUGUUCAGCUUGGUGGAGAAGAUCAUCCUGUUUGUUGGUCCAGUACUUGCUCCACUUGUGCCUGGGCUGUACAUACCAACUCGAUUCUUCAGGAUGCUUCUGAACAAAUUAGCUAGGGAUUUCCACAACUAUCCAGCUUUGGGUGGUCUCGUCCAAACCCUUAUGGGGUAUGUUGUUGGUGGUGACAGUUCAAAUUGGGUGGGAGUACUUGGGUUGCCUCACUACAACAUGGAUGACAUGCCCGGUGUAUCGUUUCAUGUUGUACUCCAUCUUGCACAGAUAAAGAGGGCGAAGAGGUUCCAAAUGUAUGACUAUGGAAGUGCCGCGGCAAACAUGGAAGCGUAUGGAACACCAAAACCAUUGGACCUGGGAGCUCACUACAGUCUUAUUGACAUCCCCAUGGACCUGGUUGCUGGGCAAAGAGACAAAGUAAUCUCACCAACCAUGGUGAAGAAGCACUACAAGUUGAUGCGGAAGGCUGGUGUUGAAGUCUCCUAUAAUGAAUUCGAGUAUGCUCAUUUGGAUUUCACAUUUUCACACAGGGAAGAGCUUUUGUCCUAUGUUAUGUCCCGCCUGGCCUUAGCAGCUGACGCAGGUAAAGGCCGCAUCAAGCAGACCACUGUGCGACUAAGGAAGCCGAAGAGAGUUCAGUCAGAAAUCGAGAAGGAUCGUGCCAUGGAGUAUAGAGGCGCAGAUGAAGAGAUACCUGGUGAACCAAAUGGGCAUCGCAAGUGA
rnacentral:rRNA from 1 species